GUGAGCCCGGAAUGGUCGGCUGCACCCUGGCAGAAUUGAAGAUAAUCUACUUCCUAGCCCAAACAUCCCGUAGAACAAUGGCAUGGCAGUGGGCAGGAUAAGAACCUGGGACCAUUGACCAAAUAACAGUCUAGUGCAGGUAACAAAGGACCAGGCAGCCAUCUUUGUAGACAGAAAGGCUCAAAAAUAAAAAAAAUACAAGUGAACCAAAACCCUUAAAGUUUGAAAAGAUCUCUAAAUACACAGCAACAGAAAACUUUCCAAGCAAGAGAUGGAAAUAUAUUUAUGAGCAGUAUCUUUGAUUCAGAAGAAUAAGGAUAUGAAAGAUCUUUGAGGCUUAUCUCACUCCUCCCACUCUCCUCCUUAACAAAUAGUCUUAUUUACACUCUCUGACAAUUCUGCUCUUUAGUUCUUAUUCAAAAUAUUUCAUAGGCUCUAUAAUUUGGGUAUUUCAUCAAACCCCUCCCCCCUCUUUUGGUCACUGUACUAUAGUAUAUAUUAAGCUGAAGCCACUCACUUUGAAUUGCUCUUACCAAACACACUCACUUCUGGCCUGUGAAUUCUAUAUCACUUUUCUUUUCCCCAACCUUUCUGCACCCCCCAACUUAAAACACUUAAAUUUAAUAUUUGUUACCAGUGCAUCUAAUUGGCACGGUCCAUUUUAUAACCUAACCCAUCCCAAACACAUAUCUUUUGCCAGUAUAAAUUCGAUUACCAGCUUCAUGUGUUCCCUCCCUCAAUCACAUGCCUU
rnacentral:sRNA from 1 species